rnacentral:rRNA from 1 species
UACGGGGGGGGCAAGCGUUGUUCGGAAUUACUGGGCGUAAAGGGCUCGUAGGCGGCCAACUAAGUCGGAUGUGAAAUCCCCAGGCUUAACCUGGGAACUGCAUCCGAUACUGGAUGGCUUGAGUUCGGGAGAGGGAUGCGGAAUUCCAGGUGUAGCGGUGAAAUGCGUAGAUAUCUGGAGGAACACCGGUGGCGAAGGCGGCAUCCUGGACCGAUACUGACGCUGAGGAGCGAAAGCCAGGGGAGCAAACGGG